GAUGAACGCUAGCGGCAGGCUUAACACAUGCAAGUCGAGGGGUAUAGUUCUUCGGAACUAGAGACCGGCGCACAGGUGCGUAACGCGUAUGCAAUCUACCUUUUGCAGAGGGAUAGCCCAGAGAAAUUUGGAUAACUACCGCAUGGUAUGUGAGAAUGGCAUCAUUUUCACAUUAAAGUCACAACGGCAAAAGAUGAGCAUGCGUCCCAUUAGCUUGUUGGUAAGGUAACGGCUUACCAAGGCAACGAUGGGUAGGGGUCCGGAGGAGGAGAUCCCCCACACUGGUACUGAGACACGGACCAGACUCCUACGGGAGGCAGCAGUGAGGAAUAUUGGACAAUGGGCGCAAGCCUGAUCCAGCCAUGCCGCGUGCAGAAUGACGGUCCUAUGGAUUGUAAACUGCUUUUGUACAGGAAGAAACACUGGUUCGUGAACCAGCUUGACGGUACUGUAAGAAUAAGGACCGGCUAACUCCGUGCCAGCAGCCGCCUAACAC
rnacentral:rRNA from 1 species